UACGGAGGGGGCUAGCGUUGUUCGGAAUUACUGGGCGUAAAGCGCACGUAGGCGGCUUUGUAAGUUAGAGGUGAAAGCCUGGGGCUCAACUCCAGAACUGCCUUUAAGACUGCAUCGCUUGAAUCAUGGAGAGGCGGGUGGAAUUCCGAGUGUAGAGGUGAAAUUCGUAGAUAUUCGGAAGAACAUCAGUGGCGAAGGCGGCCCGCUGGACAUGUAUUGACGCUGAGGUGCGAAAGCGUGGGGAGCAAACAGG
rnacentral:rRNA from 1 species